rnacentral:lncRNA from 1 species
ACGAAUAUGCCUAAGGAGAACAGGGAUGACGAUAUCAGGGGAGCUAAGCUGAGGGAGGUGACCGUCGGAUGACAUGACUUCAACAAUUGAUUGGCCGCCGAGGUUUUGGUGUAAGUAUUCAGACACGACGACGGGGACAGCUAAGUCUUUUACACUUUGGAGGAUGUGACAAGGGACCGUGACUAGGCUGAGGAUUUGUCUCAUGUCACUUUGGAAUAUGGUCUGAGCUACGCUUAGGGCUAUGUCAGGUC